rnacentral:lncRNA from 1 species
CAGUUGGAACAGAAUAUACUAAUAAUUUCUUAACACCUGCCUUGGUCUAUUUGGUUUUUUGCACAUGUGGAUGGAACUGACCCUGAGAUGUUACGUCAAGUUGGGAAAUUUGUAUCAUUUUCCAGUAGGUCUGAGGGAUGUGUGUUUCUGUUCAAAUGUAAUAAGUUCUAUUGACCUGUUUGCUGGUCAUUAUCUUGCCCACGUGUGGACUUUCUUGGAACACAGAUCAUUGGCUGAUCCCAACUAGGGGAGGGAUUCUGUGGUCCUUAAAAGCUGCUCCUCUGCUCACUUGCCUACAAAGCAAUCUUGGUUUAUCCCAGAGAGAGAACGGACAAGACAGAUUUAUUUAUUUUUUUAAAAAAAUCUAAGAACACAGCCUUACUCAAGAAAGAAAGAUGAAACUUCAAAUGAUCUGCAUGCUCUUCAUUUUACUUAGUGCUACUACCAGAAACCUCUGUGCAUUCACCAUUCAGAGAGUCCUCUACGGGCAAGACACAUGCCUGGCAGGUCUAUGUGGGCAGCCUAUAGAAUGGGAAGAUGGUAGAGUGUCACUUUGUGGACUCCAUUCUGUUCUUCCUGUCCAACAGCAACUGAAGGUAGAGAAAUGUCCAGAGAGAGAGAUGCCCAGAAAGACUUGGCCAGUUUGGACCCUUACAAGACAGAAAGCAUGGGACUGCAGGCAUUGCUAGGAAGACCCAAGCGUCACGUCAGUCACAUUGCUCUCUGCAGAUAUUGCUGGGACUGUUGUGGAAACAAAGGUUUUGGUUACUGCUGUCGGACAUGAAAAGGACAAAGUCCAUGAUAGAUGACAACUCUGCUAUGGAGAUGUCCUUCUCCUUGUAGACAUGACCACCUUCAAAAAAACCUCCUCCCAUUGGUCUCUGGGUCUCCUGACACAUUCUCCUUAUUUAUUAGUUUGACAAUAUUUGGUGUUUUUGUUUUGCUUGAUGUUCUUGUCAGUUCUUGAGAAUUAAACGUAUUUUUAUCUCAUAUGCGCUGUUACCGAUUUGUGAUUCUCUACCUCUGGAUUAUAUUUUCCUGCCUUAAGA